GGGCCCGUGGUCUAGUGGCCAAUGACGUCGCCUUGACGAGGCGAAGAUCGAGGGUUCGAAUCCCUCCGGGCCCA
rnacentral:tRNA from 1 species